GGCACCAGAUCUCAUAAGGGAUGGGUGUGAGCCACCAUGCGGUUGCUGGGAAUUGAAUUCAGGCCCUCGGGAAGAGCAGCCAGUGCUCUUAACCUCUGAGCCAUCCCUCCAGCCCCGAGUUUGUAUCCUUUUUAAGGAUAAUAUUUGUCUCAUCUUAGGCUUUAUGCACACAAAGAAACUCCAGUUCUAAGCCCUUGCUCUGAAAUGUAAAUACAUUAUCUUCCAUGGACACCAGAGCACCACAGAGCCCCUCAGCAGGGCUUGUACAAAUGUCUUAGUAAAGCUUUUUUUUUUUUUUUUCUGCCACGGGCACAAGUCCAAGUUCUAGUUUUACUUUCAUUAUUCAGAGUCCAGAGUGCUUACCAUUACACUAUGGAACCCGUAUCAACUUUCAUUAUUCGAGUACAGAAGAUCUGGUGGGGAAGUGGAAGAGAAGGAAGGACAGUGAUCAGGAAGCCUUAGGCAUGAGAGUGGCUGCAGGGGUGAGAAUGGAAAGUACUCAAUCCCACGAAUGCAGAGAUGCUCAUGUGAGGAGGGACUGCAAGGUUUCAGAUGUGACCUAAAAGGACAGAAGGAAUGUGAAGACUUACGCUUUUUAUAAAUUUUCAUAAUUUUAUGAAAAGUCUUGUGAAUACCAGCCCUGAAUCACUGGAACUGAGAUGUACCCCUGAUAGGUAGAAAGUACAUUCAGGAACAAAAUUUUCUUACUUUGUACAGCUAAAUCUCAAGAUUUAAGCUCCACCCCAUUUCUUUGGCCGUUAAACAAACCCUUUAAAGAACCUCAGGAAGACUUCAGGUUCAUUUUGAAUGGUGGUUCUCAACCUGUAGGGCAUAACCCCUUCGGGGGUCACAUAUUAGAUAUCCUCUAUAUCAUAUUUACAUUAUGAUUUAUCAACAAUGGCAAAAUUAUAGUUAUAAAGUAGCAAUGAAAUAAUUUUAUGGUUGGGGGUCACCACAACAUGAGGAGCUGUAUUAACAUGAGGGCUGAAGCAUUAGGAAGGUUGAGAACCACUGAUUUAGAGAGUAGGGUAGAAGUUGCUUGUUCUGCUGCUAGGAGGGAAAAGUUCCCAGUCAAUUCUAAGUGGAGGAGGAAGGAGGAAGGGAGAUGGAUUGAGGUUGACUUUCGGUAAAGUACCAAUUAGCAUCUAUUCAUCUGUGAGAUGCCACUAUGACAAUGGUGAAAGCUCAAAAAUGAAGGCAAGAAAGAAAACUGGGAAAUGAAAAGUGUGCACAUGUUAGGGACAUAUGAGCAUAAAAGCUAAAUUCUAUGCAUAAAGUAACACUUAAAACUAAAAAAAAUCAAUGAAUAAACAACACUUUAAAAAACAGAAAAGCUCAGCAUGGUGAUCCAUGCUUUUGAUCCCAGCACUUGGGAAGCAGAGGCAGACAGCUCUGAGUUUGAGGCCAGCCUGGUAUACAUAGUGAGUUCCACAAAAGCUAGGGAUAUGUAGAGAGACCCUGUCUUGAAACAAAUAAACAAAUAAUAAAAAGCUGAAUACCAAUUAAAACAAAGUAGCCUCUAGGGAGUAGGAGGUAGAUAGGCUGUUAGUUGAACUAUUUGACUUAAAAAAAUCAUACUUCUGAGAAAUCAUUCUAAUUAAAUCUACGUGAAUGAAUGGUAUACAAUCAGUAAAGGAAGCCUUGUCCUGACCUGAGACAGCCAGGUUUCAGAGCAAGGAGAGGAGGCCUCCAUACCCACACUGUUGGAUUCCAAAAUGAGGGUCACUGCACAGAGAAGAUUCACGUUAGCAUUGAAGACUGUGAGUUCCACAAAGAGGACUUUCGUGCUCUGAUCCAGCCAGUGCCUCUGCUCCAGAUGCCGAAGAACUCUGGAGACACAGGGAAACAGAGCCAUCUACUUUCUCCAUCCAAGGUUGUCAUGGAGGACAGUACCCUGGCACUGCCACAGACCACAGGAGAAGCCACAUUGCUUGAUUUCGGGCUCCUAUAAACUACUUCAAGACUUGUAACACCCAAACUCUCACAGUGACAACAUGGAUGGUUAACUUAGAAACCAGGUGUUCACAGUCCUGCUCACACCAAGGUUAAGAGACUGAGGGAACACUAUUUGGCAUUUAAUCUGCAAGGUAGGAUUAAUUUCAUGAGCUCCAUCAACUACUAUUUGAAACAUUAAAUACUCUGUACCAACACCUAUCCAGUACCAAGAGGUAAAAGAAGUAUAGAAGUAUAAAUGCCAUUAUAUGAUUGACA